rnacentral:misc_RNA from 1 species
CUGAGUCGUAAAAAACUCCCAACCCAUGUGAACUUACCUAUGUUGCCUCGGCAGGACCUACCCUGUAGCCUGCCGGUGGACCAUUAAACUCUUGUUAUUUUAUAUAAUUCUGAGCGUCUUAUUAAAUAAGUCA